rnacentral:misc_RNA from 1 species
CGAGAGUUGUAAAACUCCUAACCCUUUGUUUAUCUACCUGUGGAAUCGUGCUUCGGCAGGCAGCUCCGUGGGACGGAGCCUCCUCGCCUUCUCUUGAAGGUGUCUGCCGCUGGCCAAAUCCAAAAACUCUAUUAUAUUAGUUACUAUCUGAGUUCUUAUAUCAAUAAUCA